AUGGUGGGGCGUGCCCGGCCGCACGCUGGAGGUCGUCCUCGAGUACAUCGAGGGCGGCAACACGCCGAGGCUGGAGUACCCCGCUCCCCCGUCCUUCUCUCGCCGACUUGGGAGCUUGUGGACGCCGAGGCGCAUGGACCCCGGGGCGUCCUCCUCCUCGUCCGGCCGCUCGUCCGGCUCUCCCUGCCUCCGCCCCGUCAAGCCGGAGCCCCAGGACACGCCGGUCAGCCGGCGCACCCGCAGCUCCGGCGUCCGCAUCGGUGA
rnacentral:rRNA from 1 species